GACGAACGCUGGCGGCGUGCUUAACACAUGCAAGUCGAACGGAAAGGCCCUGCUUUUGUGGGGUGCUCGAGUGGCGAACGGGUGAGUAACACGUGAGUAGCCUGCCCUUGACUUUGGGAUAACUUCAGGAAACUGGGGCUCAUACCGGAUAGGAGCUCCUGCUGCAUGGUGGGGGUUGGAAAGUUUCGGCGGUUGGGGAUGGACUCGCGGCUUAUCAGCUUGUUGGUGGGGUAGUGGCUUACCAAGGCUUUGACGGGUAGCCGGCCUGAGCGGGUGACCGGCGACAUUGGGACUGAGAUACGGCCCAGACUCCUACGGGAGGCAGCAGUGGGGAAUAUUGCACAAUGGGCGGAAGCCUGAUGCAGCAACGCCGCGUGCGGGAUGACGGCCUUCGGGUUGUAAACCGCUUUCGCCUGUGACGAAGCGUGAGUGACGGUAAUGGGUAAAGAAGCACCGGCUAACUACGUG
rnacentral:rRNA from 1 species